rnacentral:rRNA from 1 species
GACGGAGGAUGCAAGCGUUGUCCGGAAUUAUUGGGCGUAAAGAGCUCGUAGGCGGUCUGUCGCGUCGGCUGUGAAAUCCCGAGGCUCAACCUCGGGUCUGCAGUCGAUACGGGCAAACUAGAGUAUUGCAGGGGAGACUGGAAUUCCUGGUGUAGCGGUGAAAUGCGCAGAUAUCAGGAGGAACACCGGUGGCGAAGGCGGGUCUCUGGGCAAUAACUGACGCUGAGGAGCGAAAGCGUGGGGAGCGAACAGG